CGGGUGCGUAACACGUAUACAAUCUGCCUCUUACUGGAGGAUAGCCCGGAGAAAUUCGGAUUAAUACUCCAUAACAGUUUGACUGGCAUCAGUUGAACUUAAAAGCUCCGGCGGUAAGAGAUGAGUAUGCGGCUGAUUAGCUAGUUGGUAGUGUAACGGACUACCAAGGCUACGAUCAGUAGGGGAUCUGAGAGGACUACCCCCCACACUGGUACUGAGACACGGACCAG
rnacentral:rRNA from 1 species